GCUAGAUGUUGAUUGUCCCUCUCUUCUGUACCCACCCUACCAUGACAAUGACUUCGAGUUCCUGCAUUGUCCCUUGAUCCUGGCGCGGAUACGCGACCGACCGUUUUUAUGAUUUCGAAGAUUCAUUUCAAUUCACAAUGAUUCAUUAAUAUAAGCUUAUAUAUGGGGAAAUAUGUGUAUAUGGUUCCGAAUAGCACUAUAUAUGUGUGUGUGCAAUGUGUAUGUUGGCUCGCACUUGGGAAUUAAGGAUCUUUCCGUUUUCCUUACUCUCAUAACUAUUGCGAAUCUCCUCCCGUAAUCGAUUCGCAACUGGAUGGCCUCCAACAUGGUGAUAGGACUAACGCGGUCUUUCUUCUCAGGCAUUUAUCCGGCAAAGGCGAUUUCAAAGUCAUAUUCGUUAAAGCUCUCUCUCCAAAUGAGGGUCUGCGCUACGACAUCUUUACAACGGUUCACUUUGCCGUGGCAUCGAAGAACACUGCAUUCAGAUUCGAUAGAAGCCGAUUCGAAUGGGAAUGUCAAUGCAUUCGAGUCAAAUUUCGUUAAUGACAGCAUCCGCAUGACCGUUUAUUCGGGCACAACGGAUCCGAAGCUAUAGCCAUUCACUACUGAGGGAGCAGCAGCAGCAGCUGCCGUGCGGUUUCCGUUUAGCAUGAUGCCUGCCCCAGGAUGACAGCUACGACACCGCACACAGAACCGGAUAGGGAUACAGAGGCGGAUAAGCGAUUUGGCCUUUGUCACGUUGGAGUUGCAGCACGGGCACAGGAGAGAUGACAGGGAUGAAGCAGAUUGCUAAGGAUUGCAAAUCAAAUGUAUUCUCUCUCUGCCUGGAAAUGUGCUAUGAACAUCCUGUUAAAGUGCAUUUAAAAUAAGUAAUAGUUCCAUAAAAUCUGUUAUAAAUACAUAUUCAAAUAAAUCCAUACCAAAUCUUUUAAAUAAUAUUAUUUCAUUAGUUAGGCUAACGCUAUUGGCCAUUUCAGGACGAUCCUUUGAUCGAUAUGUAAAUCAGAACAACGGACAGAUCGAAAAAAAGAAAUACCAUCUAAAUGUCAAGCCCUACCUGUAAUUUUUAAACAUUCAAGCAAGCUGGGAUUUUUAUGUCUAUACGAGUAUUCAAAAAAGUUAGUACACACAAAGUUCACAAGAAAAUUCUCAGUUAAUAUCGAUGAAAUUUUUCUUUCCGUUUUCAUCAAUCAAAGCAAAAUUGAUUUUGUUAUACCCGACCUGCAUUCGAAAGAAUCAUUUGUGCUGUUCUCAGGAGCGAACGACUCUAUCCGCCAGUUGGUAGAAAUAGUUGUUUAAUGGAACAACUCGAUGGAUACAACCGACAUAACGCAGCCUAGUUUUUUAAACGCCGUUCAAUCGUUUACCUUCGAGAAGAGCCCGAAGCAUCAGAGGCAGUCCUCCAUGGAUCGAGCUUGCCAAGGUCAAGAAGGACUUUUGUAACGAUGUCAUAGAGCAGACCCUCAGAUGGAGCGGGAGCUUCAACGAUUAUGCCUCUGAUAUCGCUUUCGCCGGACCAAUACCUCAGAAGAUGGGCCUCGUUGUUCCCAUCACAUGCUAGAGGCACGGUGGUGAAUCGAUUAUGAAUGGGAGAAGAUCGGCAAUAAUUAUAAGAGUAGGAAAAACUCUAUGGAAAGGGAAAUAUCUGCACGGAACAGAGAAACGCGGCCGCCACCAAAGACCUCCACCCAGAGGCCCUCGAUAUCAACAGAUGACUGUGACUGAACUCAAAGGACGGCGCACAAAUAGGUUUGGUCGUAUGCUCAGGUCUAGCUCGCCGGCUGGUCGGCGUUCUUCCUCACCUAAUUGUACUAUUGUACUCCACUA
rnacentral:sRNA from 15 species